rnacentral:rRNA from 1 species
GAGUUUGAUCCUGGCUCAGGACGAACGCUGGCGGCGCGCCUAACACAUGCAAGUCGAACGGAGCAUACGGGAGGAAGUUUUCGGAUGGAAUCUGGUAUUGCUUAGUGGCGGACGGGUGAGUAACACGUGAGCAACCUGCCUAUCAGAGGGGGAUAACGAUUGGAAACGAUCGCUAAUACCGCAUAACGCAGCGAGGAGGCAUCUUCUUGCUGCCAAAGAUUUAUCGCUGAUAGAUGGGCUCGCGUCCGAUUAGAUAGUUGGUGAGGUAACGGCCCACCAAGUCGACGAUCGGUAGCCGGACUGAGAGGUCGAACGGCCACAUUGGGACUGAGACACGGCCCAGACUCCUACGGGAGGCAGCAGUGGGGGAUAUUGCACAAUGGGGGAAACCCUGAUGCAGCGACGCCGCGUGAGGGAAGACGGUCCUCUGGAUUGUAAACCUCUGUCUUCGGGGACGAAACGAGACGGUACCCGAGGAGGAAGCCACGGCUAACUACGUGCCAGCAGCCGCGGUAAUACGUAGGUGGCAAGCGUUGUCCGGAAUUACUGGGUGUAAAGGGAGCGUAGGCGGGCAGGCAAGUCAGGCGUGAAAGAUAUCGGCUCAACCGGUAGCUGCGCUUGAAACUGCAGGUCUUGAGUGAAGUAGAGGUUGGCGGAAUUCCUAGUG